UACGUAGGGGGCUAGCGUUGUCCGGAUUUAUUGGGCGUAAAGAGCGUGUAGGUGGCCAGGUAGGUCUGCUGUGAAAACUCGAGGCUCAACCUCGAGAUGUCGGCGGAAACCAUCUGGCUAGAGUCCGGAAGAGGAAAGUGGAAUUCCUGGUGUAGCGGUGAAAUGCGCAGAUAUCAGGAAGAACACCCGUGGCGAAGGCGGUUCUCUGGGACGGUACUGACGCUGAGACGCGAAAGCGUGGGGAGCGAACAGG
rnacentral:rRNA from 1 species